UGCCCACUGAUAAUAAAAAAUUAAAGGGCUGCAGUAAUUUGACUGUACAAAGGUAGCAUAAUCAUUAGUCAUUUAAUUGAUGACUUGUAUGAAAGAUUGGAUGAAAUAUAAGCUGUCUCUUUUUUAUAAAUAGAAUUUAAUUUUUUAAUUAAAAAGUUAAAAUAAAUUAAAAAGACGAGAAGACCCUAUAGAGUUUUAUAUUUUUAAUAAUUAAGAUUAUUUAGAUACAUUAAAUUAAAAUUAUAAAAAUUAUUUUGUUGGGGUGACAGAAAAAUAAAUAUAACUUUUUUUAAAAAGAAACAUAUAUAAGUGAAAAAUUGAUCCAAUAAUAUUGAUUAUAAGAAAAAAUUACCUUAGGGAUAACAGCGUAAUUUUUUUUUUUAGUUCAUAUAAAAAAAAGAGUUUGCGACCUCGAUGUUGGAUUAAGAUAAAAUUUAAAUGCAGAAG
rnacentral:rRNA from 1 species